AGGACGAACGCUGGCGGCGUGCUUAACACAUGCAAGUCGAGCGGUAAGGCCCUUUCGGGGGUACACGAGCGGCGAACGGGUGAGUAACACGUGAGCAAUCUGCCCUUCACUUCGGGAUAAGCCUCGGAAACGGGGUCUAAUACCGGAUAUGACCGCGCUACGCAUGUGGUGUGGUGGAAAGUUCUGGCGGUGGAGGAUGAGCUCGCGGCCUAUCAGCUUGUUGGUGGGGUAAUGGCCUACCAAGGCUUCGACGGGUAGCCGGCCUGAGAGGGUGACCGGCCACGACUGGGACUGAGACACGGCCCAGACUCCUACGGGAGGCAGCAGUGGGGAAUAUGGACAAUGGGCGAAAGCCUGAUCCAGCAACGCCGCGUGAGGGAUGACGGCCGUCGGGUUGUAAACCUCUUUCAGCGCCGACGAGCGAGAGUGACGGUAGCGCGAGAAGAAGCACCGGCCAACUACGUGCCAGCAGCCGC
rnacentral:rRNA from 1 species